rnacentral:rRNA from 1 species
AUUGAACGCUGGCGGCAGGCCUAACACAUGCAAGUCGGGCGGAUGAGAGGAGCUUGCUUCUCGAUUCAGCGGCGGACGGGUGAGUAAUGCCUAGGAAUCUGCCUGGUAGUGGGGGACAACGUUCCGAAAGGAACGCUAAUACCGCAUACGUCCUACGGGAGAAAGCAGGGGACCUUCGGGCCUUGCGCUAUCAGAUGAGCCUAGGUCGGAUUAGCUAGUUGGUGAGGUAAUGGCUCACCAAGGCGACGAUCCGUAACUGGUCUGAGAGGAUGAUCAGUCACACUGGAACUGAGACACGGUCCAGACUCCUACGGGAGGCAGCAGUGGGGAAUAUUGGACAAUGGGCGAAAGCCUGAUCCAGCCAUGCCGCGUGUGUGAAGAAGGUCUUCGGAUUGUAAAGCACUUUAAGUUGGGAGGAAGGGUUGUAGAUUAAUACUCUGCAAUUUUGACGUUACCGACAGAAUAAGCACCGGCUAACUCUGUGCCAGCCGCCGCGGUAAUAC